rnacentral:rRNA from 1 species
UAUUAGAAGAGACGCAUUUAUUAGAUAAAAAGCCAGUUCAUGCUUUUACAGUAUGAAAAUUGGUGAUUUAUAAUAACUUAGCAAAUCGCAAAGUGAAAACAGGCGAUAAAUCAUUCAAGUUUCUGACCUAUCAGCUUUCGACGGUAUGGUAUUGGCUUACCGUGGCAGUGACGGUUAACGGGGGAUUAGGGUUCGAUUCCGGAGAGGGAGCCUGAGAAACGGCUACCACUUCUAAGGAAGGCAGCAGGCGCGCAAAUUACCCAAUUAUAACAGUUUGAGAGUGGUAGUAACAAGAAAUAACAAUACAAGGCAGUUAAAAUGGUUUGUAAUUGGAAUGAUAGAAAUUUAAACCCUUUUUAAAGUAUCAAUUGGAGGMCAAGUCUGGUGCCAGCAGCCGCGGUAAUUCCAGCUCCAAUAGCGUAUAUUAAAAUUGUUGCAGUUAAAAAGCUCGUAGUUGAAGUUCUGCUGAAAGUAACCGGUCUGCUUUUAAUAAAAGUGGUAUCUUGGUAUGUAUUUAGCAAUGAUGUCCUUUGAAGUGUUUUUUACUUUAUUGUAAUAAAGCAUAUUCAGGACUUUUACUUUGAGAAAAUUAGAGUGUUUCUA